rnacentral:rRNA from 1 species
UGGGGAAUAUUGCACAAUGGGGGAAACCCUGAUGCAGCGACGCCGCGUGAGCGAUGAAGGCUUUCGAGUCGUAAAGCUCUGUCCUAUGGGAAGAUAAUGACGGUACCAUAGAAGAAAGCCCCGGCUAAUUACGUGCCAGCAGCCGCGGUAAUACGUAAGGGGCGAGCGUUGUCCGGAAUUAUUGGGCUUAAAGGGCAUCUAGGCGGUAAGACAAGUUGAAGGUGAAAACCUGUGGCUCAACCAUAGGCUUGCCUACAAAACUGUUGAACUAGAGUACUGGAAAGGUGGGUGGAACUACACGAGUAGAGGUGAAAUUCGUAGAUAUGUGUAGGAAUGCCGAUGAUGAAGAUAACUCACUGGACAGAAACUGACGCUGAAGUGCGAAAGCUAGGGGAGCAAACAGG